CUUCUUGUCUUUAUGUAUCGGGCUGGCCUUGUGCAAAGGAGCCGUUUGAGCGCUUGGCAGGUUUCCCUGGCAUCUCAGAAUUUUUAUGUCCUUAACGUAGAGUUUCCUUCCUGUGAAGGGAAGAGCCCUGGCCAAGGUUCCUUGGAGAUACAAGUGUUUCUUUGACUGGCUCAGUAAUGACUCCUUGUCUGAGGGGAGUGAUAAAACCCUUUUUUUCUCAGUCCCUAUUAUUAGUUUGUGUGUGCGCAUUUCAGAUUGCAGCGUGAACCUGGCUGACACAGCACAAUGGCCUAAUUAAAGGGUGUUAAAAAUUGAGGGUAGAUAAAAACGUGAGUGGACUGCGUUGUCCUUGGGGCAGAGUGUGCAACAGCAGAUGGUGAAAACGUUGCAGAAGCCUGGAAGAGUGAGCCAGGUCAGGCACAAAAAGUUCUACCUGCUCCGUUUGGUUGUCCUUAACCGGUGGCUGAGCAGUAUUUUGUAGACAUCAGAGCAGGCCUUGGUGUGUCAUUGUGUUCCCUUCUUCAGUGCUGAAAUGUUUGCAUAUAGUUCUGUUGGACCAGAAAAUGCACCAGGUUCCGAUUUCAUUUGUAGUGAGGUCAAAACACUGUGUGUGUGUCUGCCUGCUGCUGCGGUUCCUGAACAGUGGCAGCGAGUUCCAGGUGCCUCUUGGAAGGGCCGUGAAGGGAAGCGUUAGCAUUUCCCAGCUCUUCAUCCAACCGCAUUUGCUGAUGUGCUGCUUUGUAGUUUGAGUCUUGUUGUUUGCAGUACUUUGAGUACAAAAGUGUGUUUUCAAGGAAGUUAUCACUCAAGUAUCUCUAGUAACCCCCCGGCCUGAAUUACUUACUUCCUGAAAAUGUUCUUCUCUGCGUUAGGUUUCAGUGCAAACUGCUGGUGGCUGCACACCCUCAGAACUGAAGAGGGCUUCUGCUGUACUGUGAUUGUGUGCAACAUGCUGCUCCCCACGCUGGAAUUACAAGGACCAUCAGGGACAGCUCUGCCCUGCAAGACCUGAGGGAACGGGCCGCCGGAAAUGAUGGCAGCGGACCAGCCUGGACUGGUGUGUCCCCCACCAGCACCCCAGACUGGAAAAGCCACCUCAGAAGGAUCUGAAGACAUCUGCUUGCGAGGUUCAAAAUGCCUGUUGCUGUAUGAGGGUUUCUAUGUCUAUUUCUUUCUAUUUCCUGCAAUCAGCAAGGCAGUGAACAUAAAUCAAGGGCCUGAGAGGAACCUCAAGAAGUUUGAAGAAGUCAAAUGUGAAGUUCUGUAGUGGGUACAGAAAAACCUGAUGCAGCUCUGCAGCAGCUGGUCGGGCAGUCCUGAGGGACCAGCCAAGAUGAGCAGGGGCAAAGAAAGACACUGCUUCUCGGUGCUGCUGAGACUGCAGCUGGAGGGCCGGGCCCAGUUCUGGGCUCCCAAAAACAAGAGAUCUAUGGGAACAGUCCCGUGGAGGCCACCAAGAUAAUCAGGACGUUCAAGCAUAGGAGCUGUGGGGACAGGCAGUGGGUUUGUUUGCUCUGGAGAACAGGAGCUCAAGGGGUAGGAAAUCUGACUUCAGCUGUGGAAUGGAAGGGGCAGAGAAGAUGAGCUGGGCUCAUCUUAGAGGUGCACAGUAAUGAGGACAUUUUGUGUAAUUUUGUGUUGCAUCAUACCACUAAUAAAACCAGUGCAAGUCAGUAUGGUCUUGCUGUACUUUACUGGGGUCUCCACCCUGUGGAACCACUGGGGGUUCCUGGUAGCCUUUCUGUUUCAGAGGGUGAAUGCAGGGGAGCCAGGCUGGGGGGUGUGUGGGGCAAUGUUCACUUGUGGUUAGGGACCUUCAUCCUACUGCUUAGAGAAAUAUGUGCUGUGGAAUGUUAAUACAGUAGAGCUGAGAGGUCCAGGAAAUCAAUGGGAAUGCCAAAUGCUUGUACAUGUCCCACACAAGCUUUUCCAGACAGGAUGUCACAAUCAGCUUGGUAAAGCCUUUUUUGAAAACAAUAUGCAUGUAAGCACAGGCUUUGCAGGCUGAGGCUCUGUCAGGUACUGUUUGUGGCAAGGACAGCAGCU
rnacentral:lncRNA from 1 species